GACGAACGCGGCGGCGUGCCUAAUACAUGCAAGUAGAACGCUGAAGGAGGAGCUUGCUUCUCUGGAUGAGUUGCGAACGGGUGAGUAACGCGUAGGUAACCUGCCUGGUAGCGGGGGAUAACUAUUGGAAACGAUAGCUAAUACCGCAUAAUAUUGAUUAUUGCAUGAUAGUCAAUUAAAAGGUGCAAUUGCAUCACUACCAGAUGGACCUGCGUUGUAUUAGCUAGUUGGUGAGGUAACGGCUCACCAAGGCGACGAUACAUAGCCGACCUGAGAGGGUGAUCGGCCACACUGGGACUGAGACACGGCCCAGACUCCUACGGGAGGCAGCAGUAGGGAAUCUUCGGCAAUGGACGGAAGUCUGACCGAGCAACGCCGCGUGAGUGAAGAAGGUUUUCGGAUCGUAAAGCUCUGUUGUAAGAGAAGAACGAGUGUGAGAGUGGAAAGUCACACUGUGACG
rnacentral:rRNA from 1 species